rnacentral:rRNA from 1 species
GAUGAACGCUGGCGGCGUGCUUAACACAUGCAAGUCGAACGGAAAGGCUCCUGCUUGCAGGGGUACUCGAGUGGCGAACGGGUGAGUAACACGUGGGUGAUCUGCCCUGCACUUCGGGAUAAGCCUGGGAAACUGGGUCUAAUACCGGAUAGGACCACAUUUUGGAUGGUGUGGUGGAAAGUUUUUCGGUGUGGGAUGAGCUCGCGGCCUAUCAGCUUAUUGGUGGGGUAAUGGCCUACCAAGGCGUCGACGGGUAGCCGGCCUGAGAGGGUGUACGGCCACAUUGGGACUGAGAUACGGCCCAGACUCCUACGGGAGGCAGCAGUGGGGAAUAUUGCACAAUGGGCGCAAGCCUGAUGCAGCGACGCCGCGUGGGGGAUGACGGCCUUCGGGUUGUAAACUCCUUUCGCUAGGGACGAAGCGCAAGUGACGGUACCUGGAGAAGAAGCACCGGCUAACUACGUG